GCUUAACACAUGCAAGUCGAGGGGCAGCAUUUCAGUUUGCUUGCAAACUGGAGAUGGCGACCGGCGCACGGGUGAGUAACACGUAUCCAACCUGCCGAUAACUCGGGGAUAGCCUUUCGAAAGAAAGAUUAAUACCCGAUGGUAUAAUCAGACCGCAUGGUCUUGUUAUUAAAGAAUUUCGGUUAUCGAUGGGGAUGCGUUCCAUUAGGCAGUUGGUGAGGUAACGGCUCACCAAACCUUCGAUGGAUAGGGGUUCUGAGAGGAAGGUCCCCCACAUUGGAACUGAGACACGGUCCAAACUCCUACGGGAGGCAGCAGUGAGGAAUAUUGGUCAAUGGGCGCAGGCCUGAACCAGCCAAGUAGCGUGAAGGAUGACUGCCCUAUGGGUUGUAAACUUCUUUUAUAUGGGAAUAAAGUUUUCCACGUGUGGAAUUUUGUAUGUACCAUAUGAAUAAGGAUCGGCUAACUCCGUGCCAGCAGCCGCGGUAAUACGGAGGAUCCGAGCGUUAUCCGGAUUUAUUGGGUUUAAAGGGAGCGUAGGUGGACAGUUAAGUCAGUUGUGAAAGUUUGCGGCUCAACCGUAAAAUUGCAGUUGAUACUGGCUGUCUUGAGUACAGUAGAGGUGGGCGGAAUUCGUGGUGUAGCGGUGAAAUGCUUAGAUGUCACGAAGAACUCCGAUUGCGAAGGCAGCUCACUGGACUGCAACUGACAUUGAUGCUCGAAAGUGUGGGUAUCAAACAGGAUUAGAUACCCUGGUAGUCCACACAGUAAACGAUGAAUACUCGCUGUUUGCGAUAUACAGUAAGCGGCCAAGCGAAAGCAUUAAGUAUUCCACCUGGGGAGUACGCCGGCAACGGUGAAACUCAAAGGAAUUGACGGGGGCCCGCACAAGCGGAGGAACAUGUGGUUUAAUUCGAUGAUACGCGAGGAACCUUACCCGGGCUUAAAUUGCAUUUGAAUAAUCUGGAAACAGGUUAGCCGCAAGGCAAAUGUGGAGGUGCUGCAUGGUUGUCGUCAGCUCGUGCCGUGAGGUGUCGGCUUAAGUGCCAUAACGAGCGCAACCCUUAUCUUUAGUUACUAACAGGUCAUGCUGAGGACUCUAGAGAGACUGCCGUCGUAAGAUGUGAGGAAGGUGGGGAUGACGUCAAAUCAGCACGGCCCUUACGUCCGGGGCUACACACGUGUUACAAUGGGGGGUACAGAAGGCAGUUACCUGGUGACAGGAUGCUAAUCCCAAAAGCCUCUCUCAGUUCGGAUCGAAGUCUGCAACCCGACUUCGUGAAGCUGGAUUCGCUAGUAAUCGCGCAUCAGCCAUGGCGCGGUGAAUACGUUCCCGGGCCUUGUACACACCGCCCGUCAAGCCAUGAAAGCCGGGGGUACCUGAAGUACGUAACCGCAAGGAGCGUCCUAGGGUAAAACUGGUAAUUGGGGCUAAGUCAUAACA
rnacentral:rRNA from 1 species